UCCUCUAUGGUCUAGUGGCUAGGAUAUCUCGCUCUCACCGAGAAGGCCCGGGUUCGAUUCCCGUUAGGGGAA
rnacentral:tRNA from 1 species